rnacentral:rRNA from 1 species
AUUGAACGCUGGCGGCAUGCCUUACACAUGCAAGUCGAACGGCAGCGCGGACUUCGGUCUGGCGGCGAGUGACGAACGGGUGAGUAAUACAUCGGAACGUACCCUGUUGUGGGGGAUAACUAGUCGAAAGAUUAGCUAAUACCGCAUACGACCUGAGGGUGAAAGUGGGGGACCGCAAGGCCUCACGCAGCAGGAGCGGCCGAUGUCUGAUUAGCUAGUUGGUGGGGUAAAGGCCCACCAAGGCGACGAUCAGUAGCUGGUCUGAGAGGACGGUCAGCCACACUGGGACUGAGACACGGCCCAGACUCCUACGGGAGGCAGCAGUGGGGAAUUUUGGACAAUGGGGGCAACCCUGAUCCAGCAAUGCCGCGUGUGUGAAGAAGGCCUUCGGGUUGUAAAGCACUUUUGUCCGGAAAGAAAUCGCGCUGGUUAAUACCUGGCGUGGAUGACGGUACCGGAAGAAUAAGCACCGGCUAACUACGUGCCAGCCGCCGCAGUAA